GACGAACGCUGGCGGCGCGCUUAACACAUGCAAGUCGAGCGAUGAAACUUUAACAGAACCCUUCGGGGCGAAGAUAAAGUGGAUUUGCGGCGGACGGGUGAGUAACACGUGAGUAACCUGCCUUAGACAUUGGGAUAGCCUCGGGAAACCGGGAUUAAUACCAAAUAAAAUCAUAAUGACACAUGUCAUAACGAGCAAAACUCCGGUGGUCUAAGAUGGACUCGCGUCCCAUUAGCUAGUUGGUAGAGUAAAAGCCUACCAAGGCGACGAUGGGUAGCCGGACUGGGAGGGUGAACGGCCACAUUGAGACUGAGAAACGGUCCAAACUCCUACGAGAGGCAGCAGUGGGGAAUAUUGCACAGUGGGGGGGACGCUGAUGCAGCGACGCCGCGUGAACGAAGAAGGCUUUCGAGUCGUAAAGUUCUUUUAUAUGGGAAGAUAAGGACGGUACCAUAAGAAAAAGCCCCGGCUAACUACGU
rnacentral:rRNA from 1 species